rnacentral:rRNA from 1 species
UACGGAGGGUGCAAGCGUUAAUCGGAAUUACUGGGCGUAAAGCGUGCGCAGGCGGUUUGUUAAGUCCGCUGUGAAAUCCCCGAGCUCAACUUGGGAAUUGCAGUGGAUACUGGCAGGCUGGAGUACGGUAGAGGAAGGUGGAAUUCCCGGUGUAGCAGUGAAAUGCGCAGAUAUCAGGAGGAACACCGGUGGCGAAGGCGGAUCUCUGGGCCGAUACUGACGCUGAGGAGCGAAAGCGUGGGGAGCGAACAGG